rnacentral:rRNA from 1 species
GACGAAGGAUGCAAGCGUUAUCCGGAUUCAUUGGGUUUAAAGGGAGCGUAGGCGGCCUUAUAAGUCAGUGGUGAAAUCUCGCAGCUUAACUGCGAAAUUGCCAUUGAUACUGUAGGGCUUGAGUACAGUUGCCGUUGGCGGAAUAUGACAUGUAGUGGUGAAAUACAUAGAGAUGUCAUAGAACACCGAUUGCGAAGGCAGCUAACGAAGCUGUAACUGACGCUGAGGCUCGAAAGUGCGGGGAUCAAACAGG